rnacentral:rRNA from 1 species
UACGAAGGGGGCUAGCGUUGCUCGGAAUCACUGGGCGUAAAGGGUGCGUAGGCGGGUCUUUUAAGUCAGGGGUGAAAUCCUGGAGCUCAACUCCAGAACUGCCUUUGAUACUGAGGAUCUUGAGUUCGGGAGAGGUGAGUGGAACUGCGAGUGUAGAGGUGAAAUUCGUAGAUAUUCGCAAGAACACCAGUGGCGAAGGCGGCUCACUGGCCCGAUACUGACGCUGAGGCACGAAAGCGUGGGGAGCAAACAGGG